AGGACGAACGCUGGCGGCGUGCUUAACACAUGCAAGUCGAGCGGUAAGGCCUUUCGGGGUACACGAGCGGCGAACGGGUGAGUAACACGUGGGUGAUCUGCCCUGCACUUCGGGAUAAGCCUGGGAAACUGGGUCUAAUACCGGAUAUGACCUCCUAUCGCAUGGUGGGUGGUGGAAAGAUUUAUCGGUGCAGGAUGGGCCCGCGGCCUAUCAGCUUGUUGGUGGGGUAAUGGCCUACCAAGGCGACGACGGGUAGCCGACCUGAGACGGGUGACCGGCCACGACUGGGACUGAGACACGGCCCAGACUCCUACGGGAGGCAGCAGUGGGGAAUAUUGCACAA
rnacentral:rRNA from 1 species